GCUUUGGGCGCAUUCCUCGCACACUGAGUGGGCAGCCUGCGCCGGCGCCACAAGUACGCCGCCCCCUCUUCCCUCCUUCGGUGGCAUCUGUGACAGUGCGGAGGGGCCGUAGGGGAGAGGCAGGGGCAGGUGGUACCGCCCUACGCGGAAAAGGACGAGCACACACACACACACACACACACGCAUCCACGGAGUGCUCCUUUCCUCGCGUUUCUUAUCUUCCUCUCUCGCCUGUUCUCCGUGCAGACAUGCCGCACCCCAAGGAGAACGACAGCGAUGUUCCGGCCUCGGUGGAGGUGCCGUUCCCGACUUCCCUUUUCUCGCGCAGCGCCGGCAGCAACACUGCACAGCAUGCCAAGGCUGUUGCUGAGACACUAUCGCCGGUGCCGAGUGCGUUGGGAAACGGAACUGCUGCCCGCCAGCACGGCGCUGUCGCUGAGGAGGUUCACAUGCGCAGCGCAUCGCCGACCCUUCUGCAGUCGGGCAUAGACGCGCUGCCGGCCCUGCGCGCCACAGAGACGCGACUGCGGCAAGCGCAGGAGACAGAGCUGAGCGUGCUGUUCCGUUUGCGACUCCUUACGGAGGCCUUAGUCGGUGCCGCGCGCCUGUCUAACGCGCUAGCUGUCGCAGGCGCGGCAACGGCGGCGGCACACGGGAGCGGCGGCGCUGAGGACGUCAGUGCGCUGCCCAGCGAGGGUACAUUUCGAGCUGCACUGCCGGCCGUGAUCGCUCGCCCCUUAACCACUGGGACUGACGAGGCGACGCGCAUACCAGCGGAGGCGCGCGUCUCGAUGCAGUGCGUUGAUAUGCCGGCAGCAGGCCUCUCCGCAGCGGCGAGAGGGCAGUACGCGGCUCUGCGCCGCGCUCUUGCACGGCACUUUUGUGAGCCGGAGGACGGGGACGUGGGCGGCACGGGUGAUGCCGCCGCCAGCAGCGCGCGCACUCCAAGCACUGCGACACCGGAAAACCCUCAGACCAUUGGGCAGUACGAGGCGACUCCUUCCGUGCUCGGCUCGCGGACCACUGAAGUCGUCGACACCAGCAGCACAGACGCGCCAAGUACCCACGGCGUUGUCGAAGACGGGGCAGGCGCUUUCAAUAACCCAGAUACUCGACAUCGUAGCGCAGUCGAGGCGCAGCGGCGCACGCGUUUCUUCAGCGAGCUGCGGUACUGCCCGCCGUCCCCACCGCAGCGAUCAGUGAGCCCACGCAGACAUCACGCCUCGACUGCUUCUUGUGAUCCGGAAAUGUCGACGGCAUCAAUGAACAUGGACAGCCGCAGCGCAUCGCGGGGCAGACGAGUACCCCACUCGCCGCCAUCAUCUCAUGUGCGUGGAUUGGCGGAUAGGCUUGUAGACACAAAGAGGGGCGGGGGCGCCGUGGCGCCGACGUUGGCGCUGCCAAAGCCUUCGCCGGCCUAUGUGGAAGACUCAUGCGCGGAGCCCGCCGCGAAAGGAGAGCGGGACGAAGUGAGGAAGGAGGCGGAGGGCGGCCACCGUCGUGAAGAGCCAAAUGAGGCUGCGCUAGCGUCACACACGCCAGCAGUAUCACCAAGUUUUGCGACGGCGCUGACAUGCGGACCCUCACCAAAUGCGGUGAAGGUUGAGCCUUGCAGCCCUUUGUCUCCAUGCAUUUCUCCGCUUUCAGCUCACCGAACCUCCGCGGUUACCGCGUGGGAGAGCAGCGCGGUCGCUGCUCCCGAUGGACAGCUCUCUCAGAACACCCCCACACCGCCGACGUUGAAGUCGUCGCCGCACCGACUCUCUCAGCCACUUAGCGCCACCCCUACCUCGACCUUUGGCGACGCGGACGAGGAGGGGAUGUACUUUCCCAUGCCUCCGCCCGCCAAGACGCAUCGCCGUGUUGAAGUCGAUGCCGAGCUUUCAUCCCGCUUCCCUGCCAUGGGCAACGGUGGUAGCGCUUCUACAGGGGCCGAUGCGGCUUCCGUUUUCUCCACAAUGUCGAGUUCAACUGCCUCAGCGCCGUCCCUUCGUCGUCGUCUAGCCUUUGACGGUGGCCAUGACGAGCCGGAUGCCGAGUCAGCAAGAGCGCCCCACUCGGAGAAGCGCGGAAGGGCGGCGAUUUCGUCGUCGAUGCACAUGAGGGACAGAAGCCGUAAGGAAGCACCACAAACGGUGAGCGCCGCGCGCGUUAUGCCACUGUCACCGACGCCGACGUGCGUGGUGACUGCCACAGACAUACUUGCCACCAUCACUGCCCUUCCACGCCCAUCGUCAUCGUCGUCGUCGCUCCUUUCAAAGCGGGCCUCUGCGCGGCGCGCACAUCGUGGCGGCAAGGAGAGCAGUGCGACGCGUAAGGUGAAUGCGUCGCCUGCAGAAGGUCAGCCGACGCAUCGUGGCGUGUACAAACGGAGACGGGGGAGGGGUGGCGAGUGGGGACUUGUCGGCAUGAGUGAUGAGGUCCUUGCGGCGGUGCCGUUGGCGGGUUUGCCAUCUCUUGGCAUGGAUGUGUCGUUGAGCGCUGCCGCUGGGUUGGGCCGACCGGUGUGCGAAGAAACUGCCAAUGACCGACAUCGGAGAUCGAGGACGGCACGCCGCACCGAGAGUGACGGCCAUCAACGCACAAUGUUCGAGGAGGAGCACGUUCCCUGUGGCUACGCGCGAACCCGUGAGCAACGGAUCGAGGGCGUCGUGCGGGCAGAGCAGGUGCGCAGCGCUGUGCGUGCAGCGUGUAGCCCACUGCCGACUGCAUCCUCACAGACCCCUCCGCGAUGCCUCGGGGCCGACACCGAGUGUGAUGGCGCGCUGCUGUCCCCCUCGCCGCCUCUCUCGCAGAACACACCACGCCAGUUCUGGGACAUUAGCUUCCCUUGACAGCCGAGGGCGGCGAAAGACGAGUCGACAAGCGUCGGCGAGACCGAGACGAUGGCAGAGCAAGUGCGUCUCCCCCCCUUUUCCGCAUGCGCGUACAAGCAGGUGUAACGCGAAGUAAAAAAAAAACGGAGCGCAUGCUCACUGCGCGACACGCGCUGCUGCUGCUGCUGUUUCGGCUGUGCACGCCUGCUUUCCCGCUCUUCCCUUCCCCUUUCUCGUAGCCAUCACCCCUUUUUUUCCUCGAGCGAAUAGAAUUAGCAGAAAGAGGCUGCAGAGGUGCGCGCUGCCACCGCCGGCAGGAGUUUUAGCUACGCCGGUUGGGCCUGACAUUCACCGAGCCUGUGGAGCUUCUUCUGCGCGGCUUGAGUGGUGGUGAUGUGUGUGUGUGUGUGUGUGUGUGUGGGGAUGCCUUCAGCCUGUGCGCCAUUGCCUUCUCCCUUUCUGCACCUCCUCCGCCACUGUGCAAGUCUGCACGGAAAUCCCGGUUGCGCCGCCACCGCUCCCUGUCUCUCACGUGUGUGCUCCGUUGCACAUUGUUGCGCGUUGCAUUCCUCUCAUCUGUGCUGCCGUAUGCGUCUCUCGAUCCUUCACUUGCCCGC
rnacentral:misc_RNA from 1 species